UACGAAGGGGAGCUAGCGUUGUUCGGAAUCAGCUAGGGCGUAAAGCGCAGCGUAGGCGAUCUUUAAGUCAGAGGUGAAAUCCCAAGGCUCAACCUUGGAACUGCCUUUGAUACUGGGGAUCGUUGAGUCCGGGAGAGGUGAGUGGAACUGCGAGUGUAAGAGGUGAAAUUCGUAGAUAUUCGCAAGAACACCAGUGGGCGAAGGCGGCUCACUGGCCCGGUACUGACGCUGAGGUGCGAAAGCGUGGGGAGCAAACAGG
rnacentral:rRNA from 1 species